rnacentral:lncRNA from 1 species
UCCGAUGAGACGGGUCCGCAUCAGCAACCAUUCGAAUCCUUCCAGCCACAUCCACGUGCUUAUCCGCCGCUUCACGAAGCAAAUUAAUUAGCUGGUCCUUAGUAAAGGGCUCCAAGAGCUUGUGAAUGGGUUCAUCGUCAUCAUCAGUAGUCGCAACAGCAGCCGAGGAAGUCGAAAUCUUGGGGGUCGGAUGGUGGUUAUUAACAUUCGCAUCGCCUUCAUCAUCCUCGUCCUCAUCAUCCUCGUCCUCCUCCUCUUCCUCCUCGUCGUUAUC